UACCAAUUCCGAAACUAUCUACAAUAGUAAACCGGAUAUCAACAGCAGCAGUAAAUUGUGAUGCAAAAUAAUCGGAACUAACGCAUCAUCUUGGCUAUGUUGUCAUUAAUCUUACCGGUAUUAUCGUUACAUUUAUGUCCUUAGCUGUAUUUUAACGGUAUUGUCGUUAUUUUAAUGCUUCCAGCUGUAUUUUCGUUAGUCGACAGUUCAUACAUACUUCAGAUUCUGUAAAAGCUGAAACUCUCACAAAACAUUUGAAAGAGCAUGAUUACCUGACUGCCCUCAGAGUCUCCAUAUUGAUAAAUUCUUCAGUAAAGUCAGAGUGCCAUUGCAAUCUACAAUGAAGAGAAGAUGGUAAGCAGGGGUAAAAUUGUCCAGAAAAAAAUGGAUUAGGGUUUACCCAUAAGCUGAAGUACAUUCUGACUUACGUACACAAAUUGAAUCUCAUCUUUCAAUCAUCUUCCCAUUUCACGCAAACAGUCGUCAUGCUUUUAACGUGAAGGUGACUCAUCCCCACAAUUUUACGUGCGCCGAACAACACACUAACGUGCACCGCCUGCCAUGGGUAAACCCUAGCCAGCUCAUCAGCUGCUAUGAAGUAAAAUUAAUCGUAUAUGCGAAAUAA
rnacentral:lncRNA from 1 species